rnacentral:rRNA from 1 species
UACGAGGGGGGCAAGCGUUGUUCGGAAUUAUUGGGCGUAAAGGGUGCGUAGGCGGUCUGACAAGUCUGCUGUGAAAUCUAUGGGCUCAACCCAUAGUCUGCAUCGGAAACUGUCGGGCUUGAGUAUGGGAGAGGUGAGUGGAAUUUCCGGUGUAGCGGUGAAAUGCGUAGAUAUCGGAAGGAACACCUGUGGCGAAAGCGGCUCACUGGACCAUUACUGACGCUGAGGCACGAAAGCUAGGGGAGCAAACAGG